CUUAUGAAGGUAUUACAGCUGCGACUUCAUUAAUGUUUGAAAGUGUAUAAAUGUUCCAAAGUGUAUAGCUGAGACUUGAUUAAUGUAAAGAAUAACUUUAUGUAUCGUAUAACUUUAUGUUUUUGGUGUUUGAUUCCCAUUGUAGAAUGCCAGGAAAGAACUCCGGAGUAUGUCACAGCUGUAGGAGUAAAGCCCACUUUUUUGCCGAAUGCCCGAUAAAAGUCCGAUGUCCAACGUGUAACCAAGGUUUUCAGAAGUCGUUUGAGGUAGAACGGGCUACAGCCAACAAAGGCAAAUUCUUCAAAUGUUGCAGUCUUAAAUGUGGUUUCUGGGAGUGGUGCAAAGAAGGGGAAUCAAGCGGCAAAGCCAAGAACGUUGGUGUUAUGUUUUCGAAGCCGGAUCCGAUAGAUUCAGUUGAUGAUAUGUCCCGCAUGUUUCAAUCGCAAGUUCGGCUAAACGAUGAACAAGAACUCCACAUUUCUGUGAACGUGACGAUCCGAAUGGGAAAUUCAAGCACCGAGUGGAACACCAAGGGCAAGGGGCCGGCUUGAUUGGCGGUGCAUUUGUGUUCAGUUAUAUCAAACUUUUGUUUGUGUUAGCAGUGUUAGCUUUAGCAGAAUCAAUGUUAGGUUGUUGGUUGUCUAGUUUGAACAAUAUUAUCGUGAUGUAAUGCCUUUUGUUAUUAGUGCAAUGGAUAGAAUUGUGUGCCUAUUCAAA
rnacentral:lncRNA from 1 species